GGCUUGAUCACUCUCCUCAGCAUCCCCUCGCAUUGCCUUAGCUAGCCCAAAAUCAGCCACUUUGGGCCUGAAAUCUUCGUCCAACAAAAUGUUAUUAGACUUAACAUCUCUGUGAACUACUGCUGGCACAGAAUCAUGGUGCAAAUAGGCCAAUCCAUGAGCUGCUCCAACUGCUAUGGCAAAUCUCCUCGGCCAAUCCAAUAACAAGCCACCUUUUUCCCCAUGUAAUACGUCUCCUAAGCUUCCAUUCUCCAUGUAUUCGUACACCAAUAUCCUAAAGUCAUCACCAAUGCCAGUGUACAAUAGUUUCACUAUGUUUCCAUGCCGAACUCUCCCUAAUGUCUCCACCUCUGACCUGAACACCUCCUCGGAUUCUCUUUCCCGUUUAGCCGCCCAAAGUUUCUUCACCG
rnacentral:misc_RNA from 1 species